CCUACGGGAGGCAGCAGUGGGGAAUAUUGGACAAUGGGGGCAACCCUGAUCCAGCCAUGCCGCGUGUGUGAAGAAGGCCCUCGGGUUGUAAAGCACUUUCAGUGAGGAAGAACGCCUGGUGGUUAAUACCCAUCAGGAAAGACAUCACUCACAGAAGAAGCACCGGCUAACUCCGUGCCAGCAGCCGCGGUAAUACGGAGGGUGCGAGCGUUAAUCGGAAUUACUGGGCGUAAAGCGCGCGUAGGUGGCUUGAUAAGCCGGUUGUGAAAGCCCCGGGCUCAACCUGGGAACGGCAUCCGGAACUGUCAAGCUAGAGUGCAGGAGAGGAAGGUAGAAUUCCCGGUGUAGCGGUGAAAUGCGUAGAGCUCGGGAGGAAUACCAGUGGCGAAGGCGGCCUUCUGGACUGACACUGACACUGAGGUGCGAAAGCGUGGGUAGCAAACAGGAUUAGAUACCCCGGUAGUC
rnacentral:rRNA from 1 species